UGCAGAAUCCCGUGAAUCAUCGAGUUUUUGAACGCAAGUUGCGCCCGAAGCCUUUCGGCCAAGGGCACGCCUGCCUGGGUGUCACGCAUACGUCGCCCCAUCCUCUCGACACCUCGGGAGUCAUGGGAGCAGAAGUUGGCCUCCUGUGUGCCUUGCGCAUGUGGUUGGCCCAAAAUGCAUGUUCGCGGCAAAUGAUAGCCAUGACGAUCGGUGGUUGUAAAGACCCUCUGAAAAAGUCGUGCGCUGUUCUUAGACGUCGGGACAUUCCUUGACCCUAGGGCGUCCUCAGGGCGCGCUCCGACCGCGACCCCAGGUCAGGCGGGACUACCCGCUGAGUUUAAGCAUAUCAAUAAGCGGAGGAAAAGAAACUUAUCAGGAUUCCCUUAGUAACGGCGAGCGAACCGGGAAUAGCCCAGCUUGAGAAUCGGGCGCCUUCGGCGACCGA
rnacentral:rRNA from 1 species